rnacentral:other from 1 species
UUGGAGCUGCCCGGUUCGUCAGGCAAGUCAUCCCCUGGGCCGUUAAGCACUUCCCUUGGGGGCUGGCUCUGCUCAGAUUUUGGUCUGGGUAACUGGUGCCCACCUGCACAGCAGGCCUUGGGAGGAUGCAAACGCCAACGGCCAGGGCGGCUCCACU